rnacentral:rRNA from 1 species
UGGGGGAUAUUGCACAAUGGGCGAAAGCCUGAUGCAGCGACGCCGCGUGGGGGAUGAAGGCCUUCGGGUUAUAAACUUCUUUUGCUCUGAACAAGGCGCACCAUGGGGUGUGUUGAGUGUAGGGGUUGAUUAGCGCCGGCUAACUACGUGCCAGCAGCCGCGGUAAUACGUAGGGCGCGAGCGUUGUCCGGAAUUAUUGGGCGUAAAGGGCUUGUAGGUGGCUGGUUGCGUCUGUCGUGAAAGCUCAUGGCUUAACUGUGGGUUUGCGGUGGGUACGGGCUGGCUUGAGUGCAGUAGGGGAGGCUGGAAUUCCUGGUGUAGCGGUGGAAUGCGCAGAUAUCAGGAGGAAUACCGGUGGCGAAGGCGGGUCUCUGGGCUGUUACUGACACUGAGGAGCGAAAGCAUGGGGAGCGAACAGG